rnacentral:rRNA from 1 species
AAUCAACGCUGGCGGCGUGCCUAACACAUGCAAGUCGAACGCGAAAGUGGAGCAAUCCAUGAGUAGAGUGGCAAACGGGUGAGUAACGCGUGGGCGACCUACCUUCGAGUGGGGGAUAACCUUCCGAAAGGAGGGCUAAUACCGCAUGACAUCCCGUGUUUGGAUACACGGACAUCAAAGCCGGGGAUCGUAAGACCUGGCGCUUGAAGAGGGGCCCGCGUCCGAUUAGCUAGNGGUGAGGUAACGGCUCACCAAGGCUCCGAUCGGUAUCCGGCCUGAGAGGGCGGACGGACACACUGGAACUGAGACACGGUCCAGACUCCUACGGGAGGCAGCAGUGGGGAAUUGUUCGCAAUGGGCGCAAGCCUGACGACGCAACG